rnacentral:rRNA from 1 species
GACGAACGCUGACGGUGUGCUUUAGACAUGCAAGUCGAACGCGAAAGCCCUUCGGGUUAGUAGAGUGGCGAACGGGUGAGUAACACGUGGGCAAUCUGCCCCUCGCAGGGGGACAACCCGGAGGAAACUCCGGCUAAUACCCCGUACGCUUGCGGAACCGCAUGGUACCGCAAGGAAAGGUAGCUUCGGCCAUCCGGCGAGGGAUGAGCCCGCGGUGCAUUAGCUAGUUGGUGGGGUAACGGCCCACCAAGGCGACGAUGCAUAGCUGGUCUGAGAGAUGAUCAGCACACUGGGACUGAGACACGG